AGAUACCUUUGUGGGAAGGGCUUUACAGUGAUGCUGCUCCUGCAGGGGUGGUACAGAUGAGAAGGGAAGUGCCCAGAAAUUCAAGGUAGGCUUCCAGAGUGGGUUUGAUGCCUUGUCCACACUGGCUGUGUGAGCUGGGAAGCCAGGGGAGCAGACGUUGCCAAAAAAAAAAAUCUGCUUUUCCAUUUUGUUUCCAACCGGAACUUUUUAAGCUUGGCAGCAGUUCAGAACAAAGAGUUUCUCUGGUGCCCCAGGGCCCUUGCAGAUCCGUGUCUGUUUUCUAGCUCCUUCCCAGAUGCAUUUGUGGUUGUUUAGCCAUAGCCUACCUCCGUCCACUCUGCCUGCCCCAGUCAGUCAUGCUGGUGCCCACCUGGCUUUCGCAGAGGUCGCUGUGUCAGCUCUGAAGAGACUUCAAACGCCUUAAUUGAGGAGCUUCUAAAAUCGUGGCAUUUUAUGAAGCCAAGGGUUUCAGUUUGGCUUUGGGCACAUUUCUAUCAACUUGUAAGCAUGUGCUGCAGUUCCUUUUAUUGAAUGACAGGUGAUAUUACAGCAGUCAGUCAAGCGGCUGUUUUAAGAUGCCUCAGAUGAUUUGUCUAUGCUGCAGUGAUUCAUAGCUCCAUUUUUAUUUCAUAAUAAAGAGAAAGAGAGGAGGAUUCUGCCUUCUGCUGCAGUCCUCACUGUGCUGGAUUGCCUACCUGUAUCCACAACCCCUUUUAUCCUAUUUUAAAGUUCAGCAGAAAAAUAAAUGUGCGGUAUCACAGGAACUUCUUUAUAAAAUACGGAUCUCGCACUUGAUUCUGGCAAUUGGCUCUUUGUUGCCUGCAAGUUGUCUUUAAUACCUGGCUCUGUCUGGAGGGAGUUUUUGGCACCUUAAAGCAAAUGUGGUGCAAAGCUGCCAAAAGCUUACUUUAUCCAAAUUCCUCAGUGUUUGAACUAUUUUUUUUUUUUUUUUUUUUUCCUGCAGUAUGUCUCUGCUUUGUAUUUCAUCCUGCAGCAUGGCCCGUUCUUUGGGAAAAUGUGCCGGCUCUGAUACAUCCCCAGCACCAGAGAAAUAGCAAACCGUCCUGCUGCUGUUGUGUCCCCAGUGAAGGCUCUUCCAUUUGUACUGUGGCAUCUCUUGCAGCACAGCGAUGCAUUCCUGCCUGCCUGGGCUACCUCCAUGGACGUGACCAUAUCACUACUGGACCUUUUGACCUUCUCCAGCCAAGUACUGGAAACUUUCUGUUCGAUCACAUACAUCCUCAUAGGUUCCUGAGCAGGAUAUUCACAGCAAAGAAAGGAAGUGAAGACAACAUGACACAUCUGUAGCUCACAGCCACUGCCGUCACACGAUGUGGAGUAAAGCUGCCAAGGAGAAGAGCCUCUUUCAGUCAUUUUUCAGACUUCUUUGUUCAUUAGUCACAGUUUUGACAAGCAGCUAACUCUCUUGAAGAUUGUCUCCAUCUCCAUGCUAGAAAGAAAUGACAAAUCACUUAAAGUUUAGGCAACAAGUUGAUCAGAGACUCAGCAGUGAUAAUGCUGCACUUCUUCGUGGUGGUAACAACCCCAGACACCUACCAAAAUAGCUUGUCAGCUCUGCUUCAUUUGAGUAUUCAAACCAUACAGGCAGUCAGAUAAUCUGGCAGACAAAUAAAGUGCCUUGAACAUGACUGCCUUUGACAUCAGAGACUGAACUCCCCGUGUCUUCCAAUAUGCAUUUUGUUUGCCUCACCCAGUUGCUACUCAUGCCACUUGCUGAUUUCCUAUCCCCUUCUCUGCAGUAUUGCACUGACUCAGGAUUGAUGACUUUGAAACUUGAAAAAAGCAAACUUUAUAGCCUUUCCAAGUGUUUAUAACUUGGUUUUUAAUGCAUGUACAGAGCCAAAUUUUGGCUAUGUAAGUUCUUGAGUCCCAAAGUCACUUGAGUGAGUAUCCACAUUUAGGAGUUAACAGCUUUCAAAGUGCAUUUGAUAUC